GAGAGUUAAACAGUACGUGAAAUUGUUGAAAGGGAAACGAUUGAAGUCAGUCAUACCAACGGGAAAUCAACCUUUUGAGUUUGGUCUCGUGGGUUUUGAAGAGUUUAAAAGCCUUCGGAUUUUCGAGAUUGGGUUCUUCUGGUGUACUUUCUCGUACGGUUAGUCAACAUCGGUUUUGAAUGUCAUAAAAUGACUGGAGGAAUGUGGCUUCGAUCUCGUAUUGAAGUGUUAUAGCCUUUGGUAGAUGUGAUGUUCGAGACCGAGGAUUGCAACGGAUACCCUUCUGGGCUAUUCGUCUGAUCUCUGAAACGUUGCCUUGAUGUCGAAAGCUUGCUUAUGAUGUUAAGGGUAUUACGGUCAAAAGGUUAGAACGGAUUAAAUUCGUUAAGGAUGUUGACGUAAUGACUUUAAACGA
rnacentral:rRNA from 1 species